CUGUGAUGGUUUUUAAGAAUAAUAGAAGGAAAUGGAGUAAAUGAAGUAAUCAAAGAAUAUCCGGUAAACUUCACCAUCCCUCUAAUCAGACAAAGCCCGCUCCUUUAGGUACCUAUCCAUUAAAUAAAACUAAAUCACACAUUCAAUAUUUACAAACAAGGUGUUUGCAACUAGCACUGCACUUUCCCUAUGGAGAGAGUAAACAAACAUCAUAUUCAAUGAUAAUUUACUCCACGCACGCCUAAAUUUUUAAACAAAGAGCAACCCGUUCAUGAAUCAACUACAGGCAGCAAUCUCACAGUCUCAGCCACGUAGUUCAAGAGCUUAACCAUAACGAAACAAACCCAGAAAUAAACAACAAUUAUGAUACCGUUUUAGCCAGUAGAAAUAACAGGAAGAAAGGAGACAUGCUAAUAGACAAUUUAUCAAACAGGAACAAAGCAAAACUCCUUCAUACUCUCUAACAUAAGUAAAGCAUAUAUUUACAUGUAUCUGUAAAUGAACUGUAUAUGGAAGUAAAGAGAUUAGAUUUGUAUAAGAGGAAAAAGAGUAUAGGGUUUAC
rnacentral:misc_RNA from 1 species